GCCAAUUCUUGUAAAUAACCCAUGAAAACACAUUCAUACUAAAUAACUCUGAAACCAGAGCUCUUUCUUUCUUUCUUUCUUUCUUUCUUUCUUUCUUUAUUUAUUUAUUUAUUUAUAUUCCCCUGGUUAAUUAAUGAAUAAAAGACAGAAACAAUGUUAUAGCUGCAAAAAUUAUGUUAGAUUGCUAUAAUUUUAAGACACAAAAAUGUGAAUUUUCGGACACAGCUCACUGAUAGAAACUUAAGGAAAGAUGAUGAUAUGGAAGGCUCUUUGGCAGAGGCCUUAUGGCAGUUGAGAUUAUUGUCUCUGAGUGAGAGCCUGCAUACUUAGGAGAAUGUGAACAACAUUUUCUUCAGUCUACACAGAAGAUUUUAUCAAAUCUGGACAUCGCGGAAACUUGACUUCAGGAAAGAAGGAUCCAUGGGAUUUUCUUGGUUUAUACUAACAGAAAUUCUGCAAAGACUGAACAUAUACAGGGGCAUGUACUUUUAUGUCUAUAUUUUCUAUCAUAGAGAAAUCUGUGGUUUUCUUAACGAACACAUUACUCUCUCGAAGAAUAAUUAUGUAUUUGUCACCACCUCCUUCCAUUGUCAGUCACAUUAAAAUGUUCCCUAUAGGCUCAUUAAACAUGGGAUCUCUGUGAACUGAAGCUUUGCAGCUAGGCAG
ensembl:lncRNA